rnacentral:rRNA from 1 species
AUUGAACGCUGGCGGCAGGCUUAACACAUGCAAGUCGAGCGGGGUGAUGGUGCUUGCGCUAUCACUUAGCGGCGGACGGGUGAGUAAUGCUUAGGAAUCUGCCUAUUAGUGGGGGACAACAUCUCGAAAGGGAUGCUAAUACCGCAUACGUCCUACGGGAGAAAGCAGGGGAUCACUUGUGACCUUGCGCUAAUAGAUGAGCCUAAGUCGGAUUAGCUAGUUGGUGGGGUAAAGGCCUACCAAGGCGACGAUCUGUAGCGGGCCUGAGAGGAUGAUCCGCGACACUGGGACUGAGACACGGCCCAGACUCCUAGGGGAGGCAGCAGUGGGGAAUAUUGGACAAUGGGGGGAACCCUGAUCCAGCCAUGCCGCGUGUGUGAAGAAGGCCUUAUGGUUGUAAAGCACUUUAAGCGAGGAGGAGGCUCUUUUGGUUAAUACCCAAGAUGAGUGGACGUUACUCGCAGAAUAAGCACCGGCUAACUCUGUGCCAGCCGCCGCCGUAA